AUUAUUCGGUUAGCUUUUUCUGACAACAACAAAAUUAUGUCUUAUUGGGAUCCAUUAUCUUCUUUCUUAUCUUCUUUUCCCUGAAAUCUUGUUCUUCCUUUUUUUCAUGAGCUUAACUUUUCAAAAAUGAUUGCUUCCCAGAUUUAAUUUUAGUUUAAUUGGAUAUUUAUUGUUAAAGAGAAUAAGAAGGAGAAAAGAGCAUGGAGGUUGUUCAACGAUCGAGUUAGAGAGAGAGUUCCGACGCGAGUCAGGUGAAGCUCGUCACAGUGGAGAGUCUUACUAGAGCAGGUGGAGCCCGGUGGCUAUAAUUUGAUCAGACGAGGAGCUUGAGGCGGACGAUUCGGCCGGAGAGUUUUCCUAAAGGUAGUGAAGAUAAUCCGGUGGAUUUUGACGAAGCUCGGGUUCAGUGUCUGUUGCUACAGCUGUUUAUCCGCAGGACACUGGUGCUCUGCUCGCCGCUUCGCCGUCAUCUCCUCUGGUCGCGACUCGCCGUGAUGAGCAUCAUCAUCAUCAUCAUCUGCUCCGAGCUCGGCGUUGCGGCAAAGCUCCAACCGCGAGCUCAAACCUGCUGUGCCCUCAGUCUCGAUUCAUCUUCGUCUUCAGGAUCCCAGGAUUGACAUGACCACCGCAACUCGCAGCCCCGACGAGCUCCACCGCCGCAGUCUCCUUUCUUCUCCACGGGUCUUCUCUUCCUCCGUGUCUCAAGUCCGGCUUGAAGCUUCAACGUCAUGCCCUCAGACUCUCUUCUGCGGUGUCUCAAGAGGUCUUCACUCUCUGUGACCUCCGGUGGACCGUAAAGCGAAGCCGCCGUUGCAUCCGAGAUCGCCAGCGCCAUUGUUGAACCUUGAGAUUAAGUUUGGUUAAUUUUCACUUUUGGUCCUUGUAAUUUUAAUUGUUUCUACUGUUGCCUCAAAAUUCCUAGAGUUUCACAAAAGUCCUCUCGAACCGCUGGUCUCCUUGAGAUGGUUAUCAGAAAACGUACAUUGAAUUCAUUGUUUUAAGGUUUCUUAGGGAUUUUUUUUGGAUGGUUUUAUCUUGAGUAUAGACAUGGUAGUUUGUUCAUGGACAAGAGUCAGAAUUAAGUUUUCAUUUCUUUAUAUUAGAAAAUUAUAUGCAUGUUGAUUUUUAUCUAGUAUUCUUUUUAUUUUCGUUUUCAUAAUAUUCGUUUAUAUAACCUUAC
rnacentral:lncRNA from 1 species